UUAAAGGGCCGUGGUAUACUGACCAUGCGAAGGUAGCAUAAUCAUUAGCCUUUUGAUUUGGGGCUGGAAUGAAUGGUCUGACGAGAGGCAACCUGUCUCCUUAAUUAACUCGAAUUUAAUCUUUAAGUGAAAAAGCUUAAAUAGCCUUGGAGGACGAUAAGACCCUAUAGAUCUUUACAUCCGGCUUUUUCAUCUAACGGUGGGUAAUCGGGUGGAAGAGGAGGAUGUUUGGUUGGGGCGACGUCGAGAGGGGAAUAAACACUCGAGAAUAUACAUACAUCAAUAAAUGAUCAUUGAUCCUUAGAUGAAAAUAGAGUAAGUUACCUUAGGGAUAACAGCGUAAUUCUUUUUGAGAGCUCAAAUCGACAAAAGAGUUUGCGACCUCGAUGUUGGUUCAGGGACCCUAUUUGGUGCAGCAGCUUAAUCAGGUAGUC
rnacentral:rRNA from 1 species